rnacentral:rRNA from 1 species
AGUGAACGCUGGCGGUAGGCCUAACACAUGCAAGUCGAACGGCAGCACAGUAAGAGCUUGCUCUUACGGGUGGCGAGUGGCGGACGGGUGAGGAAUACAUCGGAAUCUACUUUUUCGUGGGGGAUAACGUAGGGAAACUUACGCUAAUACCGCAUACGACCUACGGGUGAAAGCAGGGGAUCUUCGGACCUUGCGCGAUUGAAUGCGCCGAUGUCGGAUUAGCUAGUUGGCGGGGUAAAGGCCCACCAAGGCGACGAUCCGUAGCUGGUCUGAGAGGAUGAUCAGCCACACUGGAACUGAGACACGGUCCAGACUCCUACGGGAGGCAGCAGUGGGGAAUAUUGGACAAUGGGCGCAAGCCUGAUCCAGCCAUACCGCGUGGGUGAAGAAGGCCUUCGGGUUGUAAAGCCCUUUUGUUGGGAAAGAAAAGCAGCAGGUUAAUACCCCGCUAUUCUGACGGUACCCAAAGAAUAAGCACCGGCUAACUUCGUG